rnacentral:ncRNA from 1 species
CCCGAGCGACCCCGGUAGGGUGCGUCUCGGUCGAUCUGCGCGGAACCCGGUGCGACUCCGGGACGGUCCCGCCACUGUGAGCGAACCCCCUUCGCGAGUCAGACACGCCUGGUCGGCCGGCCCGGA